AGUGAACGCUGGCGGUAGGCCUAACACAUGCAAGUCGAACGGCAGCACAGUGAUAGCUUGCUCUUACGGGUGGCGAGUGGCGGGCGGGUGAGGAAUACAUCCGAAUCUACUUUUUCGUGGGGGAUAACGUAGGGGAACUUACUCUAAUACCGCAUACGACCUACGGGUGAAAGGAGGGGAUCUUCGGACCUUGCGCGAUUGGAUGAGCCGCUGUUGGAUUAGCUAGUUGGCGGGGGACUGGCCCACCAAGUCGACGAUCCGUAGCUGGUCGGAGAGGAGGGUCAGCCACACUGGAAGUGAGACACGGUCCAUACGCCUACGGGAGGGAGCAGUGGGGAAUAUUGGGCAAUGGGCGCAAGCCUGAUCCAGCCAUACCGCGUGGGUGAAGAAGGCGUUCGGGUCGUAAAGCCCUUUUGUUGGGAAAGAAAAGCAGCAGGUUAAUACGCCGCUGUUCUGACGGUACCCAAAGAAUAAGCACCGGCUAACUUCGUG
rnacentral:rRNA from 1 species